AACUCCCAGGAGGACUCAGCCAUAAUGCAAACAGCCAAGUGAGUAGCAUGAAACAGUCCAAGACUCACAAUCUAAGGCCACAGAAAGAUGUUAGAUGGGCUGACAUCUCACUGUUGAUGGAGCUCUCUGCAUGAAUUCCUUUUGUGUUACCCCCGUGGAAGAGGUGUGUGGUGCAGAUACUCUGCUUGCUGGUGUAUGGAAACCUAAAGAUGGACCUAGCUGGUCAUACUGGCUGGAAUCCAGAUGGAAGUGAGCAUACCUUACUUUGCUCUCUCUGAUGCUGUAAUUGAAUAUUUCUGGAAGACUCCAGUUGCAUCACGUGUAGCCUGGAAGAAUGACAAUAAAGUACAAUGAAUGUUUGAGAGACAUCUUAGUGGAAGUUUUCUCAGGCAUGCAAAUCGUCAAGACCACCCAGGCACUUAGGAAGUCAGAUUAAAAGUCAAUUUGCGACUGAAAAAUGAAGGCUCUGCAGCUUCAUUCAUGUCAGCAUUUCUUCAUAAUGGACCCAUUUUAACAUUCAUCCAUGAAACAGAAAGAAUUAAUUCUGCAGAAGAAGGUUAAGACUGCACCCAUCACUCCGCCCAAUGAACAUCAAAAUUGCAACAAUCAGGUCUCAUGGCUGGAUCCAAGGAUGCUAUCAUUUCUAAGUGGCUCAACAUCUUGGAUUUGUUGUGCCCAUUGGCCUGUGCCCAGGAUCUCCAGCAACACCCACUUUGUGACAUCCUGAAAUAACCUGGAGGUCAGGAACUCAAUGCACAAUAUUAUUCAGUAAUGAGACUGAGGAACUUCUAGCAAAGGCACUCAAGUUAUGGGUACAAUAAAAAGCCUCACUGAUUUUUCUGGUAACCAGCUACUCAAUGGAAAAAUGAAGAGAAGCAGCAUCCCUGACUGAGUACAGAGAACCUGGCAUCUGGAGUUUGGUGUCUGUAAUCAGUCAAAGCCUAGCAGGGAUUGAACUGCCUGAAUGAGUUCUAGGCAUAGAGCAGGGGGUCAGAAUGAGGAACUGGAGGACAUGUGGUUGUGGCACUGUCUCUUUUAGCUUCAGCCUGCUCUAAACCUGUCUUGUGGUGACAGUGGGAGCAUGUGUGAGAACAAUUAUAGGAGUGAAUGUCUGGCAGUUCUGCAUCUAGGCUCUGCUUCAAGUCAGGCACCAGAAGUAUAGAAUACAUAUCCAAAAACCACUUACACAAAAGUCAGAACAAAUAACUUGUUUGUGUGAAUUUUGAGGAUAAAAAUUAACCCAAUUGCUAAAAAAAAUAACACAGGGGCACAUCACCCUCAAGUGCAGUUCCCCGCCACAUUUAUUUUUAUUGCAAUGAGUAAAGCAGAUCACUUGGUAUGAGGAGUUCAAAGUUGUUUUGUGAACUCUGUGCACGUUUUGCAUGUCAACUAAAUUAUAAAUACAUUAAGGAGUCCAUCAAAUAUCCAUAGACCAAGAUACUAUAUAUAGCAGUUUAUGCUAUGAUGUGGUCUCCUUAAUUUAGCAGAUUUUAAAACCAUUUCACUGUGGUAUGAAAAUCAGAUCCAUGCAAAUACAGGAGGCAAUGAACAAAUUGUGUUUACAAAAUGAAAUUAGCACAAAACUACAGACUUAUCGCAAAAAUCUACUGAAGCUUUCAUCUCCUAGACCCAACUGCUUGAGUUGUUUCACUGAUGAAGAAAAGAGAUAAUGCCCAAGAGGAGACAUUGUCCCUUCAUCUUCUGCUCCUGGGAGAGAAAGUAACAAGCAAAAUUCCAAAAUUCUUCCAGCAUGUCAGCAAGACUGCUGGACCAGCUGGCAAAACUGAGUUUGAGAUGCUCUAUGAAAUCUGAUUAAAUUUAGCAGCUUUACAAGUCAAGGAUUUCACCCUUCAACAGCACUGGAAUUGUUCUAAAUUUUAAUGUUGGGAAGCUCCCAAUAGCUAGGAGCUGGGAACUGGGAACUGGGGGCUGGGAGCUGGGAGCAACACAGAGAUAUCUCCAAAGGUAUGCACAUUUUCAUUAGGUUCCUCCUGAUUUAGGAAGUCAUCUGUGUGCUUCUCCUUUGAGGACAGCAAAAGUGCAAACAGUGAAAUUAGAAAAUUAACCUUCAGGAGGUAGGAAUGCUCUGGUGGACACAGUAGGGGUUAAUAACCUUCCUCUGUGGUGCACUUCUUUUGAGAGCUCUGCACCAGCAGCUUGCUCCUGCAGUGCACAGUGAAGGCAGAAAUUAGGAGGGGUGCCAGGCAGUAAUGGACUGAGCCAUUUGCGUGUCUAUUUUCCAUUCAGCAGGCUCUGAGAGCAGGGCUGAUCAGCAGAGCAGACCAGGAAAUGUUGCAUCAUUGAGAUUAUUGAACUCAUUCUGUACAUAAAAUUUACCAGAUAGUCUGAUACAUGCUGCUGAGUAAAAAUUCAAGUACUAACUCUCUGUGGAUGUAAGCAUACAGAAGGAAAUGUGAUUUUUGUUAUAUUUGAUCAAUGGUGUUGGACCAAAUGAAUUUAUUUGAAAUAUCUGGUAUCUGAAAUAGUCCACAAUUAAAAGAGAGAUUUGGUUCCCAAAUGUAUCCUGAAAACAUUCAACUGUCCUUUUCUCCUGAGAAUUUCAUUAACUAUUUGCAUCUGAGGCUGCACAGGUACUCAGGGUCUCCUCCUGUAAAGAAGGCAGCACCCUCUCCGCUCAAUUAAUUUAGUUUCUUUGACUAUUAAAACAUUUUCAAAAUCUUAAAGCAUAGUUAUUUUACUUGCCAGGUCUGUUACUGAAAGCCCUGCGGUUGUGUCAGGGGCGGAUAUAUGCAACCAGUCUAUGGUGACACACACAUGAGGCAGGGACCCCCAGUCCACACUUUUAUUCAGUACUAGCUGCCCUCUUCCUUGGGCCUCUGACCCCAAAGGGAGACUGGAGGUGGGGACAAAUGAAUCCAUACCAUUGCUCCUCAAGGAAGUACUAAAGCCUGCAAAACAUUUGUCCCUUUAUAUUACAAGAAUUGCACUGCAAUUACUGAGUUUCUUCUUCUGCCAGCUACUAUUACACACAUAAUUGUGUGCUUUCUCUGAUCAGGCAUUUUCUGCCUUUAGAUUUACAAUGUUGGUUAUGGUUGAAGCAUAGGUUUCACUUUAGCCUAAUUAUUGGACUUCACUACCUUGUUUAUCCCCCUUUCUCAGUGUUGUACUGGCAGGGACUGUUGUACACAGUCACCCAAAAAAGUAACUGCCUCAUCAAAGGAGGGACAUUUCUAAUGUAUUUACAUUUGAUAAAUGCUCCAUCUUAUCAAGUCUUAAUUACAGGGCAAAUAAAACCUCAGAAUCCAUGUCCAAAGUGUUGCAGCUAACAUACAUCCCCUGACACCAUCUCUUUUUGUCAGAUGGUGACUGACUCCUCCUACAGAAAUGGAAUGUAAUUUUAUAAAAUAAAUCCUGAAUUUCUAGAAAUAUCAGUAGCAUUUGGGUGGAGGGGAGAGGCCAUGCUGUGAGUCUCUGCACUCUCAGGGUGUGGAUCUCAUAUCUGCUGGCUGUAAAGGACCGAGGACUUGAAUGUUGGUGCUUGGACUUCAUGAAAGCAAAAGAUUGAUGGGCAUUCAUUGAUGCGGAGGGGAAUCUGUACUUUUGCAGGUUUUUAUCACAUCUGAACUCAAAAACUCUGUAGCUCUGGCUGUCUAAAAGAUUUAAAAAUAUCUGAUGAAGAAAAUCAUAUGCCUGACUCUCAGAGGUUGCAGCACUUGGCAGAAUAGCAACAUUUGUGUUGUCAAAAUUUUCUGCUUGAAGAAGCCAGAUAUCCAUAGAGAGCACACCCAGCAGCAAAGGCUGCUCUGUGGGGGAAGAAGGGAGGGGAGUUGCUGGAGAAUAAACCCCCUGUUCCUGGCACAAGCAGGUGCAGUAGAGGAAGCAGAAAGGGUGUAUCCCAGUGCCAAACUAAAACUUGAACUGAGGUUUAUUCCAUGUUAUUCAGCAACUGCAUUUAAGUGCUGCCCAUACAUGUGUUGCUUACAAAGAGUGGGGACAACUCAGGGGUCUACAGAAAGAAGAGAGAUCAUCUGCCUCUGCAACCCCUUUUUCCUCUGCUGUUUUGUUGCCAGGGGGAAGGAUGAGGAGGCUGGACAAUGCCAAAGGGAUCGUAGUUUGUUGGUCUGCUACUGAAUGGCACACAAAGUGGAGCACAUCGUGACAUAGAUUUUCUUUUUUCUGUCUCGCAGUUUGUUUUCCUUCACCGACUGUUAAAGGUAUGAAAUCAAUGCUGAUGACAAGUGGGUUUAAUGUGUAGGGUAAGAGGAAUGUAAGUUGUAGUUAAAAAUUAACAGUUACAGACUGAGAACAGGAUUUUUUCAUUUCAGAAACUACCUGGGGCAAUUUGUUUUUCACGAAUAUAUACAAAGAUCUGGAAUGCACCAUGUUAUUAUCCCGAUGAUGAUCAGUACAUGUACAAAUGUUCAUAUUUAGACUAAAUCCAGUUAUGUCUGAAUGCCUUUCUGCUCUGUUUUAUGCAAUUAUUCUGUUUAGUCAUGAAUCACAGACCUUCUAAUUAAGGCCCAAGGUCAGGCAAAGGGGGAUGGAAGGUGAACAGACUUACAGCUAAAAGCCUUUAAAGUCAUCAGUUGUUUACAGGAAUUCCCGUGCACUUUAACCAAAGAACAAGAUUGGCAGAUCUAGUAUUAACAGACCAAAGUUAAUUCCUCUAAUUUCUCCUGCAUUCUUGCAGGCAGUUUCCUCUAACUGAGGAAUUAAAGGUCACGCACCACCUACCUCCUGUGCUACCCAGCCAUGCUUUACCAGCCAUCAGCCCCAGGCUCCUCUGUGGGGGAAGUGACCAGAUGUAGCACAGGCAGUGUCUCCAAGAGCCAGCAGCUCUUUAGCACCUUGAUAAGUCCUUCAAAAUGACACAUUAUGUUUUCCUCAUUUCAUGUGACAGCUCGGAUAUAGUACACAAACGAAAAGGGGAAGUUGCUGGGAAAUUCUGUAUUUCUUUAUUCAGUUUCAUGUUUGAAUUCUCAGUGAAUUUCAAAUGUCUGGCACUGAGCUCCAAUAUCUCUCAUAACUGGUGACAUCCCACAAUUCCUGUGCCUGCUUGGACUCUGCUGUGGCAGAUCUUUGGAGCAACCUUCUUGUCACAAUCCCUUGAUCCUUCCAUCUCCUGUAUUUUGGCAUAGCCCAGUCACAUGGUCCCUUUGCCCUAUUCUGCAACCUUCAGGAGCAGAACCUGACUCUUUCAUUCAGAGGUCUUUGCACAAGGAGCAACUUAAGCCACACCAUUGUUUUCUCCAUUGUGAGGGCUAAGGACUUUACUCCACAAAAAUCAGGAGCAGCCAGGCAACUAACCUCAUCCUAUCACAGUGGUGGAGCAUGUAUGAAGAGAAAAGGAAUACCCUGAUAGAUGUUAGCAGGUGGGAUUCUCCAUCUGAAUUGCCCUAAGGGGCUUCAGCAACUUCUUCCUAGGUCACAUCCAUCACCAUGUCCUGCUUACUGAUGCAAGAUAAUCUUAGUAACCCAAUAAACAGUUCAUGUAGAGAAAUCCUUUGUUCCUAUUCUGUCACCUAACAUCCAAGUCUCUCUUUUAAUGGAUCUCAUAAGUAGAAGUUAAGAUCAUUUCAGUGAGCAGGGGUGAAAUGUUCUACAUCCUGGCAUCUGCCUUGAGGCCACGUCCUGCUGCACUCACAGACUUUGGGUACCAGGGCAUUCCCUGCUCCAUCCUUCCAACCAGCCAGGGCCAUGAACAUGAGCCAAGCAGUAAUGGAAUCUAAGCAGAAGUCAUCAUCUCUGUGUCUCCUGGAACACAGGGAUUUUGCCACAAGUGGGUUUGGGAUGUCAGCUGACCAAAGGACUAGGCAGACACCUCCUCUUUGCCCCCAGCCAGUCAUUUUGAGUAACAUUGGUAUAGGCAGGGAAGAAAGAAUAACAUCAGUGACUUUAGCAAAUUAUGAACUGUAGAGGAAAAAAGCGUAUAGCUAAAUACAAGCUUUGGUUGUAGUGAGAAGGUGGAUAUGGAAAGGAAAUAGCAAGAAAAGUCUAGGUUUAGAAAUGCUAGGUCUUCCCUGUCUAAUGCCCUACCAAUUUUCUUAUUUCUUCUUUUUUUUUUUUUCAGAAGACAUUUAUAUAAUAACAAAAAGGGAAUAGAAAUGGUCUCAGCUGUGUUCCCUGUCUAGUCAUAUGCCUUGCCAUGUCUAAAUAAACUGGCAGCUGACAUUUUAGGUGUUCUUAGCCACAGGGUUUCCAGAAAACAAAACUUUUUUUUUUUUUUCCAUUUUGUGUGUGUCUGUGUGCUGGUGUCCCUUUUAGAAAAACUGUGAAGGGACUACAGAAACAAACAAAACUGAGCAAAACAAACUGAACUUGAGAAUAACAGACCCAUGGCUGAGGGUGGCCUGUUUCCAAAGGGGAAUAUGUGAUCAGGGGCUCAAUGGUUUAUUUGCUGAGAAAACAACCUCCUCAGUG